UGGUGGUGCGAGCUGUCUGGUUGAUUCCGUUAACGAACGAGACCUUUGUGAGAUAAUAGUUGAAUCAAGAUAUUGCGUCAAGGCUCGGGCUCACGUAUCGGGGAAGGAUCCGUUCCUCCCGUUACUCUGGGCUCGAGUUACAAUCUAGAUUACAACUUCUUUCUCAGACAAAUGAAAAAAAUUACAUUGGAAGUUGGAGGCAAAAACAA
rnacentral:rRNA from 1 species